GACGAACGCUGGCGGCGUGCUUAACACAUGCAAGUCGAACGGAAAGGCCCUGCUUUUGUGGGGUGCUCGAGUGGCGAACGGGUGAGUAACACGUGUGUAACCUGUCCUUGACUUUGGGAUAACUUCAGGAAACUGGGGCUCAUACCGGAUAGGAGCUCUUGCUGCACGGUGGGGGUUGGAAAGUUUCGGCGGUUGGGGAUGGUCUCGCGGCUUAUCAGCUUGUUGGUGGGGUAGUGGCUUACCAAGGCUUUGACGGGUAGCCGGCCUGAGAGGGUGACCGGGCACAUUGGGACUGAGAUACGGCCCAGACUCCUACGGGAGGCAGAAGUGGGGAAUAUUGCACAAUGGGCGGAAGCCUGAUGCAGCAACGCCGCGUUCGGGAUGACGGCCUUCGGGUUGUAAACCGCUUUCGCCUGUGACGAAGCGUGAGUGACGGUAAUUGGUAAAGAAGCACCGGCUAACUACGUG
rnacentral:rRNA from 1 species